UUACGGCCAGAUUACGUAGAAAAACUGGUUCCUGUACGAUCACCGAGGUUAAGCAACCUUGAGAUUAGUCAGUACCUAGAUGGGUGACCGCUUGAGAAUACCAGGUGAUGUAAG